CACGUAGGGGGCGAGCGUUAUCCGGAUUCAUUGGGCGUAAAGCGCGCGCAGGCGGCCGCUCAAGCGGGACCUCUAAUCCCGGGGCUCAACCCCGGGCCGGGUCCCGAACUGGGCGGCUCGCGUCGGGUAGGGGGAGGCGGAAUUCCCGGUGUAGCGGUGGAAUGCGCAGAUAUCGGGAAGAACACCGACGGCGAAGGCAGCCUCCUGGGCCCGCACGGACGCUGAGGCGCGAAAGCCGGGGGAGC
rnacentral:rRNA from 1 species